rnacentral:misc_RNA from 1 species
GAAAGUACCUCUCUGAUGAAGCUGAAAAUGAGUCAAGUUGGGGCUCUUUAUUCAAGAAGAAGCCACAAAAGAUAACCAUUAAGGAUAUUUCUGAAGAUGUGAUUCGAGAGGCUGCUAGGAAGAUAGAAGGGUUCUCUGGUCGUGAGAUAGCUAAACUCAUGGCAAGUGUCCAAGCAGCUGUCUAUGGGCGGCCUGACUGUGUAUUGGAUUCCCAGCUGUUCAGGGAGGUUGUAGAUUUCAAGGUUGCGGAGCAUCACCAGCGAAUAAAACUGGCCG